GAUGAAGAACGCAGCGAAAUGCGAUAAGUAAUGUGAAUUGCAGAAUUCAGUGAAUCAUCGAAUCUUUGAACGCACACUGCGCCCUUUGGUAUUCCGGGGGGCAUGCCUGUCCGAGCGUCAUUACAACCCUCAAGCUCAGCUUGGUGUUGGGCCCCGCCGCCCCGGCGGGCCCUAAAGUCAGUGGCGGUGCCGUCCGGCUCCGAGCGUAGUAAUUCUUCUCGCUCUGGAGGUCCGGUCGUGUGCUCGCCAGCAACCCCCAAUUUUUUUCAGGUUGACCUCGGAUCAGGUAGGGAUACCCGCUGAACUUAAGCAUAUCAAUAAGCGGAGGA
rnacentral:misc_RNA from 1 species